GUCUAUGUCCAUACAACCCUGAACGCACCCGAUCUCAUCUGUUCUUGGAAAUGAAGCAGGGUCCGACCUAAUUAGUACUUGCAUGGGAGACUGCCUGGGAAUACCGGGUGCUGUAGGUU
rnacentral:rRNA from 1 species